rnacentral:pre_miRNA from 1 species
AUGAUACUCCCUCCGUCCUGAAAUUCUUGUCUUAGAUUUGUCUAGAUACGGAUGUAUCUAAUACUAAAAUGUGACUUGAUACAUCCGUAUCUAGACAAAUUUAAGACAAGAAUUUUGGGACGGAGGGAGUAUAAU